AUUGAACGCUGGCGGCAUGCCUUACACAUGCAAGUCGAACGGCAGCGGGGGAGAAGCUUGCUUUUCCUGCCGGCGAGUGGCGAACGGGUGAGUAAUACAUCGGAGCGUGCCCUGUAGUGGGGGAUAACUAGUCGAAAGAUUAGCUAAUACCGCAUACGACCUGAGGGUGAAAGUGGGGGACCGCAAGGCCUCAUGCUAUAGGAGCGGCCGAUGUCUGAUCAGCUAGUUGGUGGGGUAAAGGCCCACCAAGGCGACGAUCAGUAGCUGGUCUGAGAGGACGAUCAGCCACACUGGGACUGAGACACGGCCCAGACUCCUACGGGAGGCAGCAGUGGGGAAUUUUGGACAAUGGGCGAAAGCCUGAUCCAGCAAUGCCGCGUGUGUGAAGAAAGCCUUCGGGUUGUAAAGCACUUUUGUCCGGAAAGAAAUGGCUCUGGUUAAUACCUGGGGUCGAUGACGGUACCGGAAGAAUAAGGACCGGCUAACUACGUGCCAGCAGCCGCCGUAA
rnacentral:rRNA from 1 species